GAUGAACGCUAGCGGCAGGCUUAAUACAUGCAAGUCGAGGGGCAUCAAGGUACACGAAAGUGUAUUGUUGGCGACCGGCGGACGGGUGAGUAAUAGGUAGGUAACCUACCUCAUACUGAGGCAUAGCUGGGAGAAAUUCCAGGUAAUUCCUCAUGAGGUUAUAUGACACAUGUGAUAUAAUCAAAGGUAUCGCAAGGUACUGGUAUGAGAUGGGCUUACUGACCAUUAGCUAGUUGGUGAGAUAAGAGCUCACCAAGGCGAAGAUGGUUAGGGGUUUGAGAGAGAGAUCCCCCACAUUGGAACUGAGAUACGGUCCAGACUCCUACGGGAGGCAGCAGUAGGGAAUAUUGGGCAAUGGGCGGAAGGCCUGACCCAGCCAUGCCGCGUGAAGGAAGACGGCCUUAUGGGUUGUAAACUUCUUUACUAUGCGACUAACUAGAUUUACGAGAUAAUUCUAUAGAAUGUAGCAUAGACAAAAAGCACCGGA
rnacentral:rRNA from 1 species